rnacentral:rRNA from 1 species
UGGGGAAUCAUGGUCAAUGGGCGAAAGCCUGAACCUGCGACGCCGCGUGAGUGAUGAAGGUCGUAAGAUCGUAAAACUCUUUUCAGGGAUCUUAAAGCCUGUCUGUCAACAACAGGCAGAUCUGACUCUCCCUGGAAGAAGCCCCAGCCAACUACGUGCCAGCAGCUGCGGUAAUACGUAGGGGGCGAGCGUUAUUCGGAAUUACUGGGUGUAAAGGGUAUGUAGGCGGUAAUAAAAGUUUUGUGUUUAAAUUCAGGGCUCAACCCUGAACUGGCAUGAAGGACUGUAUUGCUAGAGUGAUGAAGAGGAAACUGGAACUCCAGGUGAAGCGGUGAAAUGUGUAGAUAUCUGGGGGAACACCAAUGGCGAAGGCAGGUUUCUGGUUGUCAACUGACGCUGAGACACGAAAGCGUGGGGAUCAAACG